rnacentral:rRNA from 1 species
GAUGAACGCUGACAGAAUGCUUAACACAUGCAAGUCGUGGGCGAAUCUGUGCUUGCACAGGCUAGCCAAGGCGGACGGGUGAGGAACGCGUAAAGAACUUGCCCUGCAGACAGGGAUAACAGACGGAAACGACUGAUAACACCUGAUACAGUUGCCGGCACGCAGGUGCCGGGCAAUGAAAAGAGAUGCUGCAGGAGAGCUUUGGGUGCUAUUAGCAUGUUGGUGCGGUGAGGGCUCACCAAGGCGAGGUUAGGUAGCCGGCCUGAGCGGGUGAACGGCCCCGAGGGGUCUGGGAUACAGCACUUACUACUACGGGAGGCUGCAGUGGGGCAUAUUGGACCAUGGGGGCAACUCUGAUCCAGCACUUCUGUGUGCACGAAGAAGGUUUUCGGAAUGUAAAGUGCUUUCAGAAGGGCAGACGAUAGUGACGGUACCUGCAGAAGAAGCGACGGCUAACUACGUG